GAAAGGCACUGUGUGCUUUAUUAAAAAUGUGUAGCCUUUUCCCUACAGAAAGCUGAGAGCACGCCAAUCCCACAGGAUGAGUGAAGACCUAAAGUUUCUAUCUCCAGACUCAGUACAGUAAGGACUGGUGAGAGGGGAUGCAGUGUUAUCCGAGGAGCAGAGAUGCCCACAGAUUUCAACCUGUGCCAUCCUUAGUUAUUUUGCAUCUUGUUUUGGUUGUUAGUAAUGCUGUUGGAUGAAGGUGGAUGAGACUUGGUUAUUUCACAUGAGGGAAAAUAAUUUGCUCAGGAAAGGGUGAGCAUCAGAGUUUCUUCAACUUUCUGCAGUGGUGAUAAUUUUGAAUAGGACUCUGAGCAUUGUUAAUUUUGGCAGGUGAAGAUGACCCUUGGGACUCUUUUCAGGUUCAUUUUUAGUUCUAUUUGUUGGGAGAGGGAGAGAGAGGGGGAGAGAGGAUGAGGGAAUGAGACCAAGAGAAAGAGAGAGAGAAAGAGUGAGAGAGAGAGAUAGAACAGGGCAGGACACAGAAGAGGGGAGAGGAGGGGAAAGGAAGAGCCUCCGGUGUACUGCCUGUGGGUGCACCAAUGCUCAGCAGAGGGCACUGAAACCUUGGGUAACUAGGCUAACAGAAGGUUUUAAGCUGACUGAAGAAGAUGCCGGCAAACAAAACUGUCCUCUAGAAGAAAAGGAAGCAAGCUCUGAGGCAUCUCUCCAGCUCCUCAUUCCUCUUGAAAUUCUUUGCUCUGGAUGAGAAUAAGAAGAUAAGGGGCAAAGAAGAGGAGGAGAAGAAAGAAGGAGGAAGAGAGGCUUGAGACUCCCAUCUGAGUUUUAAGCUGCGUGUUGAUAAUAUCUACAAAGGUAGUGUGGGGGAGUGGCUUUCAGGCUAGCCACUGCAAAGACGAGUAAGGCCACUCUCGUGCUCCCUGUAUUGUGCAUCUGAUGCUCCAUUCUCAGGAUGACAAACUAUGAAAGCGAAGCCUAUGGAAAUAGAAGUUAUGCUGUGCUCCUGAUGCUGUUGUCCAGUGCCUAACAGUAAUCUUGAAACACAAUACUGUCCAGCGAAACUCCAGUGGAGUGACUGAGCGCUGUCUCACUGAAGCCUCCAGCCAUUUCAGUCAACUAUAAAAAAUCUCCUUUUCUUGUAAGAAACAAGGAAUACUAAGAAGAAGCUAAUUGAACAACAACACUAGAAAGAUUCCAGAGGACUUUGCCUGAUGCAAGUGCCUAGUGCUAUCAGCACUUUUGUUUCUCAAAUAAAUAUAUGCUACUCUUCUGGCCUGAAGCCUACAACAGAAGAAGCAGAAUCAUUUGGCUACUGGAAAUUUCUUCAAAAACUAAAUUAACCAAGAUGAGAAAAUCAGGAACCUAGUAUUAACUGAGUCUUUGCAAAACAUAUAUAAUCUACUUCAAUUUAAUAACUACCGCAGGAAGAUGGAUGAAACUAGGGCUGCAUUAAGAAAGACAAGUCUCAGAUGUCCAUCUGUAGAACCUAGAGAGAAAUGAAAGACUGCAAACAUGAGUACAGUGGCAGCAGGAGAAAUUGCUCCACACAACUGUUUGUAGCAGCCUGAGUGAACUCCAACACUGGUGAAGCUGAUGGUCUUGAUUUCCACUACGGAAAAAGAACAAAUCAGGAUGAGACAAUAACAAACAAAGUUGGAAUUAAUUUUUAAUAAUUAUGAAUUGAAUUUAAGCAUGGGUAUUGGGGUAUAGCAGUGAUACACUUCCUACGGCAAAGCAUGACCCGACAAAAGAGGUACAUCAAGUGUCUCUACCAACACUUACAUAAUUAUUCAAGAAGGUUGAAUUAUGUGUUUAUAUUUUAAGUGUAUGCCUGUUUUGCUGCAUGUAUGUUUCUGCACCGUAUGCAUAAAGUUCUUGGAGGCCAAGAGAGGUCAUCAGAUCCUUUGAAACUGGAGUUAUAGAUGGUUGCAAUCUGCCUUGUGGAUGCUGGGAACUAAACCUAGGUCUUCGGCAAGAGUAGCCAGCACUCAACCUCUGAGCCAUCUCUUCAGCUUACAAGAUUUUGGAAUUUAUACUGCUCAAAAGAUUUAAUAUUUUUAAAUGGUUUUAUCUCAAGAAAUUUCUCUAGUAAAUAGGUCAUAAGGUGUUUGUUUUCUGGGGUGCAUUGUGUCAGGAGUACACAGUAAGAAGUCACCAGGAAGUUCUCUGCCUUUGUUGUAGCUAUAAACAUAUCUAAUCUUGAUUGUGGUGUUCUCAGAAACUGUUUGGGGAUGAAAGAGAAGGUUAAACAACAUGGUGACUUAUGCUUUCUUUCUAAUGUGGUUCCUACCAUUUUAAUAUGCUUAUUUGAAGCAGAUCUAUUGGGUUAAAAAGACUGUUGUCUGUAUGCAGGUAGUAUUCACAGCAUGUUUUUGUCAGUUGUGCAGAAAUUCUUGACUCUUAGACACUGAGAGACUUGAUUCCAAGGUGAGUUGUCAUUUCCUUGCUGUACCUCUUUCUGUUUCCCUGUCUGUCUUGACUCACAGUGGAUGGGAAAGGCAUGACUUUAUGCAAAACUCAGUGAAACCACAGUGAAACACAUUGUCUUGCAAUAUGCUAAUUAAAAAAUAGA